rnacentral:lncRNA from 7 species
AUACGUGCCAGCAGGGCUGGGAACCAUCGGAUCUCCCUCUGAAUUUCUAGAACUCCUUGUUCCUGCUUGUUCCAACAAUAACAAAGGAAAAGGCCUUUCUUUGGUGGCAUUUUGGCUUUCUGCUGCAGUGAAUCAUGGAGAGUGAGAAGCCUCACCCAAGAUGACUCCAAUGCUGGAGAGGACAACAGAAUGCCUGCCAUGGGGGGCUGUACUGGAGAGGGACAUAGCUGCCAAUUCAUUGCCUGCUGGAGCCUCUGGAGGAACCUGGGGAGUUCUGGAUGAUUCCUGCUGUGAGUUGGUCAUCUCAUGGAUGUUAUCGCUCUGCGUUUCAGAGCCAGUGCUAUUUCACCUUUACAGUUUCUUGAAGCUCCCCAUGAAGUACAUUAAUUUUUCAUUAAAGAAAAAAAAAAAAAAGGCUGUAUUUUUUUUCCAGAAUAAAUGAAUUUUAUAAUUCCAAAAUAUCUUGUCUAAUGAUCGCCAUCCAGCCAUUUAAAAUAAAGUCUUCGGGGACAGAUGUCUUCAUCACUGAGCAAACUUUAAAUUGAUUUUCCACUUUCGUUGUAAGAUUAAGUUAGAGAGAAGCAAAGACUGUGUUUCAGUACUGAUAUGCUCCCGACAUGUACUGUCAAAGUCUGCACUUGCCAUUCUUUUGGUGGGAAUAGCUGCUUUAGAAAUGUUUAUAUAUUAUCAAAAUUAGGUUUCAAAAUGAGCUACAGUAUCUAUAUAAAGGGGAAUAAUAUUAUUUUAGAGAAACUAAUUGGAAACUUGUUUUUUGGCUAAAGUAGUUAUUAUUUCCAUUAUGGCAAGCUGGAAGUAGAUGAAAUUCACCUUUAUCUUUCCUAGCCUGGUGUCUCCAAUAAUUUAUUCAAACUGAAAUUAAAACCUGACACAGUCCCAGUGAGGCAUUUCACACCAGUUAAAGAUUAUUCUGCUGUAAAAGAACUUUUGUUCAAAAAUUUCAUUAUGUUAUUACAAAUGUAUGUAUUAUAGAAGGGUGAUACAUAAAUCAAAAGCUAUCUGUU